rnacentral:rRNA from 1 species
UACGGAGGGUGCAAGCGUUAUCCGGAUUCACUGGGUUUAAAGGGUGCGUAGGCGGACAGGUAAGUCAGUGGUGAAAUCUCUGGGCUUAACUCAGAAACUGCCGUUGAUACUAUUUGUCUUGAAUGUCAUGGAGGUAAGCGGAAUAUGUCAUGUAGCGGUGAAAUGCUUAGAUAUGACAUAGAACACCGAUAGCGAAGGCAGCCUACUACAUGAAGAUUGACGCUGAGGCACGAAAGCGUGGGGAGCAAACAGG